CGGGCAGCCCUGGCCAGCAGCUCUUGUCCCUGUGGCUGGAGGCUGAAGUCCACGUAGGCCCCGGCGGGGAGCCGCUGGGGUGUAGGCCGGGUGCCUUUGUCCAAGCCUGGCGCCACUGCCCAGACACUUUACUUCAAAUUUGGCUUUAUUUUCAUCAUUGAUAUUGAUUAAAAUGACAUUCACUUGCCCGGAAAGUAAAAGAGGUCUUCAGCACAAAAUAUUGCUCCAACAAGCAAGCAUAAAUCACUGAGAUUGAAAUGUCAUCUAUCUUUAUUGGCCAACCACAUAAUCUCCAUGAAAAUUCUCAACAGAGAGCAAGGAACUCACUUUCUUCUAAGCAAAGACAAUUUGGAUUUGCCUCGUGGCACUGGCAUCUCUUCAUGUCUGGACGUCAGAUGUUAGCUUGGUGCCUUUCUCCCUUAUCAGGGGGACAUUUUGAACCCAGCCGCACCAAUGUUCUCAUGGAUGGUG
rnacentral:lncRNA from 1 species